rnacentral:misc_RNA from 1 species
GAUGAAGAACGUAGCGAAAUGCGAUAAGUAAUGUGAAAUGCAGAAUUCAGUGAAUCAUCGAAUCUUUGAACGCACAUUGCGCCCUCUGGUAUUCCGGGGGGCAUGCCUGUUCGAGCGUCAUUAUAACCACUCAAGCUCUCGCUUGGUAUUGGGGUUCGCGGUUCCGCGGCCCCUAAAAUCAGUGGCGGUGCCUGUCGGCUCUACGCGUAGUAAUACUCCUCGCGAUUGAGUCCGGUAGGUCUACUUGCCAGCAACCCCCAAUUUUUACAGGUUGACCUCGGAUCAGGUAGGGAUACCCGCUGAACUUAAGCAUAUCAAUAAGCGGAGGA